UGCACCACUGCACUCCAGCCUGGGAAACAGAGUGAGGCUCUGUCUGAAAAAAGAAAAAAAAAAGCAAAGUUAACACUUCCUCCAUCUCUCCCCUGGGGGAGGCAAUUUGUCAAAGAUUGUUGUUGGAUUUUACACACAGGGAAAUCUAAGGAAAGUGUGGAAAUCAGACCAAGACUCCAGACUCUGGUCUCUCUGUUUGCAGGGUCUUAAAACGGGGAGCCACUUUGGGUUCUUUCUACAAGAUUGCUUAUAUAAAAACAAACAAACAAACAAAAAACUCAAAAAAAAAAAAAGAGCCCUGACCUAAAUAUUCACAAGGGACCUUAGGCAAUAUCUGCAAACAAAAGUGAGUGAGGAGUGGAAUCUGUCGUCUUUACAACUAAGACAGCUCCAGAGUUGAAGCAAGUGGAAAUAUCUAGAGACAGAGAUUUGGGCAGGUUUUGCCACUUACAAGCUAUGAGAACCUGGGCAGGUUUACAUCUCUGAGCUUCUGUGACCUUGUAAAAUAGGCUGCAUUGCGCUAAACUUGCAGGAGGAAUCCCAGCAUCCUCCUGUGCACAAGGCUGGUUUCUUCCCAUCCUUUUCCUUGUUCUGCCUCUCUCCUCCUCUCCGAGAGAUGAAUACAUUUGGAGCCAAUAGGGGCCUAUGUUUGCAAAAGCUCGCAGGUGAUUAUCAUGCAGCCAGCCUGGCUCUGGCACUGAGUUCUUGGACACUUCUGGAGGCGCAUUUACUAGUGAGGAAGGUCACUGUGUGUGAAAGGCAUGCUUCAUCUUCCAUUCCUUUCUUCCAUGAAGCAAGAUGCGUGGGUCGACUGAGCUGGGAGAGUCCACGGUGUCAGCCUCCCCGACGCUUCCCUCCCUCCUUAUUCCUUGUGUGUGUACUUUCUCUUGAUUUCCUGUACUCUGCACCAAGCCAGGAGAUGGUCUGUUCUUCCCCUGGAUUGUAAACUCCUUGAAGUCUGGGUCAUCUCAGCUCAUGAGCUGAGCUUUCAGUGGGUGCUCAGUGGAACAGGUGCUGAAUGGAGUCAGGCUGUAGGGAGGCCAGCGUGUGUUGGUAAGUGAGAGACAAAAAUCAUUUUAAAAAGAAUCUUUUUGCCCUUCAAUUGUGUUUGCCAUGAGUUAAUGUGAUUUACUCUAGUGGAAGCCAGUGCAGCUUAAGUGGAGGUCUNNNNNNNNNNNNNNNNNNNNCAACAAAAACCAUAGGAUACCAAUGCUGGAGGAAGAAGCAUCAUCCUCAGUUUCUACUAACUCAACCACGCAUGAGAUGGGGAUUUGGUGUCCGAGAGAAAAGCUUCUUUUUGGGUCUUGAACCUUGAUCACACCAUUUCUGAAUUCCUCAUACACAUAUAAUCAGGUGCUAUGAGUGGUACUGAUUGGAUAAUCUUUCUGUCGUUUCCUGUGCUAGGAAGGAAAGUACAUGUACAGCCAACUUCCUUGAGGGUUCGUUCUUUUGCAUCAGGGUGUCUCAAACUGCUGCCCUUAAAACACCUGUAAGAGAAGCAUCCAGGGGGCUUGCUCGGUCUGCAUGCAGACCCUUUAGAAUCAGAGUCAGAAUCCCUGGGGCUGGAGCCACAAAAUGACAUGACAUUUCAACGAGUUUGUCAUCAUGUGAGAGAGAAUAGGUGAGUAUUUGGAUACCUAUAAUACAAAGUAGAUUCAAAAAGAAUGACUUGAUUAUUUUAAAUGUUGUGUUUUUAAAAAUUUAAUACAGAAAAGGCUGGGCAUGGUGGCUCAUGCCUGUAAUCUUAGCACUUUGGGAGGCCAAGGCCGGUGGAUCAUUUGAGGUCAGGAGUUCAAGACCAGCCUGGCCAACAAGGUGAAACCCCAUCUCUACUAAAAAUAUAAAAAUUAGCCAGGCAGUAGUGGUGCUUGCCUGUAAUCCCAGCUACGUGGGAGGCUGAGGAAGGAGAAUUGCUUAAGCCUGGGAGGCAGAGAUUUGGUGAGCUGAGAUCGUACCACUGCACUCCAAUGUGGAUGACGAUUGUUUAACCACCACCAACAUGGGUUCUGAGUCCAACUAUUAAUAUGAAGAUGACAUCCAUUGUGGUCUUGUACAUUUUGUUGCCUUUCUGGGGUGAAGGACAUUGGUGACCAUUUGUUUCCUCUGGAGCGGUCGAUUGGUCAUGAACUUCCUGGUCCAGAUAGUUGCUGUGUCAUUCAUCAUGGUGGUUGAUCCUCAGGUAGUUAGGGAGGAAAAUAAACAAGAAGUUCUAUAUUUAAAACCACGUUUCAAUUUUAGACCUGA
rnacentral:lncRNA from 1 species